AAGACCUUGCACUUUUGGAGCGGCCGAUGUCUGAUUAGCUAGUUGGUGGGGUAAUGGCCUACCAAAGCGUCGAUCAGUAGCUGGUCUGAGAGGACGGCCAGCCACACUGGGACUGAGACACGGCCCAGACUCCUACGGGAGGCAGCAGUGGGGAAUUUUGGACAAUGGGCGCAAGCCUGAUCCAGCCAUGCCGCGUGAGUGAAGAAGGCCUUCGGGUUGUAAGGCUCUUUCAGCCGGGAAGAAAGGGUUGCGAUUAAUAAUCGCAAUUUAUGACGGUACCGGAAGAAGAAGCACCGGCUAACUACGUGCCAGCAGCCGCGGUAAUACGUAGGGUGCGAGCGUUAAUCGGAAUUACUGGGCGUAAAGGGUGCGCAGGCGGUUUUGUAAGUCAGAUGUGAAAUCCCCGGGCUUAACCUGGGAACU
rnacentral:rRNA from 1 species